rnacentral:misc_RNA from 1 species
UAAUCAUCCUGCAAGUCCAAGGACGGAAGCUUCCUUUAUAAGAAGUGGAGUGACUCUUGCAGACACAGUCGUCCACUGGCAAUCCCAAAAGCAGCAAGAUGAAAGUCUUGGCGGUAGUGCUUCUGGCGGCCCUUGCUUGCGCUUCUCCAGUGGAGAAGCGAGAGGCGGACGCCGACCCUAGCCUCCCCUUCUACGGUCAGACUUAUGGCUACCCUAGCUACUACCGAGGCUACGGCUACCCAUACAGCUACUCCCACGCCCUCUACAAGAGGUCGGCUGAUCCUGAACCCGAUGCUGAUC